rnacentral:sRNA from 1 species
CACUUAGAAGUAUUCAAAAAAGUCGGGCUCACCAUUUUAUUCAUCAACUGGCGGCCAAAAUCAGUUCAUACUGCCAACAGCUGCCAAACGAAGAUCGACGCCAGCAAAAAGCGUUGGCUUUUUUCUUCUUUUGGCUUGGCUUUUGCUGCCGCAGCAGCUGCCAAAAGCGAUUUGCCGUCAAAAGAAACACACAGAUACAGGCACACACACUGGAUAUAUUUCUUAUUGCUGGGAUCGGGAUCUAACGAUAUUUCACGCUCUUCACGCUCUUCUUGGAACACUUUUGAUUGGUUUGCGCGCGCUUGGUUUUUUGGUAUUUGGAAUUUUCACAGGGUAAAAUUGAAACAAUUAACAGACGCCUGACGCAAACUUUCACUGCAAUUUCAAAUUCAAUAAAUAUUUGUUGCUUAGAUUAUGCGCUCAGGCAGGGGCAGCAGCGGCUGAAGCGGCUGCAGCUGGGUAUCCGCCAACACACAGGUAACACUGUCUCUGUGCAAACACACAGACUGGUACACUCGGUACACACUGUACACACACUUCGUAGGAGACCCGUUGGUAGAGAGAACCGCACCGCACGCGCGCUGAAAACGAACUGAAAUGUGAAAGAGCUUAAAGCCACAGCCGAUCUUCGUCGCGACUUCAAACUUGGCUUAAACUGCGCCUGUGUGUGUGUGUCUUGUGUGAGAGAGUGUUUUCUUUCCCAGUGUUUUUGUGUGUGUGUGUGAGUGUAUUGGCUGUUAGGCAACUUUGCUGCCCACACUCGGCCCAGACGCUCUCGGCCCGCUCUGCUGGUCCAUUUUUGGCCUGGACCGCUCGUCGGCAGCAGACCAGGCAAUAAUUUUUUUCCUCUUUUUUCUUUUUUGUUAUACCCGAGACGCCUUUGCACAAAUAUAAAAAAACCUAUACGAUUUGUGGCUAGCUUUUGAUAUUUUGUUGCUUGUUGGCUACCAGGUUUUCAGCUUGCUUUGACUUUUGAUUGACGUAAUUUUUGCGCUUGAUAUUCAGUUGAAUUUCUUGUAUUUCCACAUUUAACCGUUUUGGUGUCAGGCGCACAUUACACGCCCACCACACCCACACCCACACCCACACCAACACACAUGCAUAUUUAUAUAUUUAUAUACGCACACUAUACACUGACUAAUUGUGGGCGUGUGUCUGCCUCUUUCUUAAUGUUUUUUAAACAUUUUGCUUCCACAAGAGUUUUGUGAACUUUCGCUGUGGCGCGGCACGGAACUGCUUGGAUCGUGUGGGAGUGCAACCCUAUAUAUAGGGUGUAUAGCCAUUGACUCAUUCGAUUUGCAUGGCUGGCCUGCUUGCUGGUCUUAUGCUAAUUAGCCAGCUUAAACUUUGGUAUUUAAGAGUUUUCCCCACCGAAAACGAAAGACUUAGGCAACGAACCCGAUGACUGACCUUGCGGUGGGGGGCCUGGACUAUAUCAGAUCGCCGUAGAGUGCCCCAUUUAAAGGGUUCCUGGCCCUAUCGACACGCCAAUCUUUAUUGCAAUGAAGUAAUUUCCGCAUGUAAUGGGACAGGCAGCAGGAGUAGCACCAGCACCAUCCCCAGAAUAUCUCCCAUCUUACGGUAACCCUUUUUUUUUUUUUCGUUUUUGAGAACGCCCCGCCCCGUUUUGCACAUUAAAUUCUACGCCCCGCAAUUAUUUCAUGCAGCAAAUGAAGUAUGAAGCAACAUUAACGCAAAACGUGUGCCACAUACCAAAAAUGGAGCUAAAAAAAAACCACAAAAAUUAACAAGAAUAAUUAAAAAUGCAAGCUUGGGAAUGCCAAUGGAACCACGAAAAGAAACCCAAGAAAAGGAUGAGGCAUGAGGACCCCCUGGUAGAGCGGUUUUUGCAGAGGCAACAAUUGCGGGCGUAUUCGUUUUGGCCAACAGACGAGAGAGAGCCAAAACGCAAAGUGCGGUUAAACUUUUAUUUAAACAAACAUAAAAACCUGCCGUAAUUGCCUAACUGUUAACUUUUGCCUAACCGAUAGUCGAUAGGCACUAACAAAUGUUUUCAUUACCAAUUUUCUUCUUUGAAAGCCAAGUACAGUUUAUUUGGAGAACAUCUCAGAAAAUUGUGGGGAUUGUGUAAUGUCGAAAUAAAAUUUUAUGGCUGCAAUGGGUUAAGGGGCGUGAAAUACGUUUGCCAGCUGGGGAAUUGCACCAAUAUCCAAAAGGAAUUUUCGAAGAAUAUAGUAAUUUAGCUGCCUCUCAUCCUUCAUUUGAUUCAAUCUAUCGCUAUAAAAGUGAGAUCCUGGCAAACUUCAAGACACAGCAGUGUUACCCUCUGCUUGAGAGUGCAUUCACAUCCAAAUCAAGCAAACUGCAACAUCUGCCACAGAGGCAAGCAACAAGUGCGGCUAAUUUCAUGCAACUCUUAUGUCUGGUCGGCCACAGGAGGGGCACAGACUGAGAGAAAAACCCACACGCGUCGUCUACACUUGGCAUAUUUAACACAUUUAAUGAAAAAUCAACAAAACAUCAGUAUUUAUGAUGGGCCAGGCGAUUCGACUGGGACUUGGAGUUGGCCUAGGGACUGCCCCCAUUGUUGCCUCAGCAACGAGGCGCCACAUUGCCAUCCGCUGGUCCGCCGGUCCGCUGCUCCGCUAGUUGUGGCUUUAUUAAGUUGCUGUUGUUGUGGCCGGUGCCCGGACCUGCCCAAAGUUGUCUGUUUUUAUUAAUAAGUCAUAUUUUUAUAUGGUUCAACCGAGAAGGUAGCCCCAGAAGCGGCAGCAAAGGCCCGAUAAUUUAUGUUGUUUGCUCGGGCUUCGAGGAGGAUGACAAAAGUUGCAGCCGGACCAAGGGCAACCAGCGGCAGCCAUCCAGCCAUCCAGCCAGCCAGCCAGCUAUGUGGGCUUAUUCAUAAGUCACUUACACACUCAUUCACUCACUCACUCGGGAGCACUCAUUCAUUCAUAAACAACCCAAGCAAAAGCUCAAAACUCGAAGCUCAUUUUGUGAUUAAUUAAAUGCAACUUUGCUUCGGUUUGUAUGCUCUUAAAGGGAGUAUUAUGAUUGUGACAAGACGUUUGCAAAGCAAAGGAGAACGGUACAAGCAGAGCUUUGAAAGUAAAGGAAAAAUUGCUCUUCAAGAGUAGCAAAGGCUUCGACUUUCCAUCAGCCUUCUUUUCGUGAUUUUUCUUGGUGCUAUUAUAAUUUUUGCUGUUGAAAAAGUGUGCCACUGCAGCAGAGAGACAGAGACAUGCAACAGGUUGCUGUGAUUGGGCGAAAGUUUGUUGCCCAAGCUUUAAGCCGUGGGAUGGUUGAUGGAUGCACUUUGCACCUGGCGAGCCAAAAAGCAACUCAAACGUGGCCGAUUGGCCUCCGGAUAAACCCAGAAAAAACCCAAAAACUGUGUCAAAGUCCUACUAAUUUGCGGGUUCAUAGUCGUUUUCCAUUUUCGCGAAAAACAUUUGCAAAAAUAUAAUUGCAGAGUGGAAACAAAAAAUUGGCGAAAAUGUCAGAAAUAGUCCAAGCAUUACGCAAUCAUUUAAGCAUCUAAUUUCGGUUUCAGUUUUCAGCACAGCACGAACAAAUUACAGGGCGUCAACGAAUUAAGCAAAUAGCAAUAGCCGUAGAAAAUUUUGCAAAUUUUUUGUAUCUUUAUUUUAUCAUGUGUUUUGCCGGCACAGUUUUCACUCUUUUCAAAUUUUAUUCAGCUGUUCAAAUGUUUGAACAUUGCACAAAUGCGAGUGGGAUAGUUCCGUGGCCGGAUCGGAGGAACGCACAUACAUAUAUACACUCGAAAGACAAACGAGAAUCGAUUGUUCCGCUGGCGAAAUAUCGAGCGAGGUGCACACAAUGCCGUGCGCCGGCAGACUGACUCUCUCUCUCUCUCGGCCAGUCUGUCCCUGUCUCCGUCUCCGUGUCGGUUGCAGCUACGAUCGUGUUGGCCAAGUUAACAGGCCUGGCCAACAGCUGACAUACAGCUCUGUGGCUCUCUGUGGAGGCAAACCUUAGAAAAGGCAAAAACUAGUUUCGUUUAAGUGCGGAAUGGCAUUUGAAAAUCAGUUUGAGCGUAUAACAGUUUGAGAUUGAGAGAGAGAGAGAGCAGCCGGAGAGAGGGAGAAAAACCAGAUCGAGAGAGAUACAAUCAGAGUGGGAGAGACCCAGAGACACUGACUAAUUUGUUAUAGCUAUUGUAUUUGUCAAGUCAACUGAUAAAUUGAGUUGAUAUUGAAAAUAAAUUAAUUAUAUCUUCAAAAAGUGAAACAACGACCGAAGUCGGAUUUUCAUGGGGAUUAUGCCAGCAUUGAAGUUGGAUCUGAAGCCCGAGACGGAUCUUGUACUUGUGGAUUAAAAAUUAUGAUUUUAUUUUGAUUACUAUUAAAAAUGAGGUCACAAUUCGAUAUAAAUGCGUCAUGGGAGAUUUUUUGGUAUAUACUUGGAAUUGAGCUUGCAACUUGUUUUUGGCCUCCACCUAAAGAUUGUUGCUUAAUUAAUAGGUAUAUAAUGGCUAAUCAAAAUCGUAUGAAUAAUAAUCAUACAAUACUGGUAAUGAUUCUUCUAGAGUCUCCUUUAUACAAAUCGUUUCCAGUCCAGCAUGUCAUUAAUUUUGUUUUCCUGUUUUUCGAAAGAACAUCAUCAAUUGGGGAAUGGCUUUAUUAAUCAAGUGAAGUGGUUAUCAGAGCUGAUAUCAAGGCGAUUCGGUGCCGAAGAAGUAGGCCAGUUGGGGGAAUCUGCCAGUGGUGGGAAAUUAAUGAUGGGCUCUUCAACAGCAGGUGGGACCACAUUCAAGUAUGUUCUUAUUGGAUUUGAUUUCAUAUUAUGCCUUGAAUGGGAUGGAUAUGGGGCUCGAAUAAAUACUUGUGAGUAGAUAAAUCUUCUGCUCAUUAAACAAGCUUCAUUGAUGUUCAUUUCCUAUAAUUAUACUGUGUUGAAGCUCUUUAAUUUUACUAGUUUUUGAUGGGGCAAAAACACACAGAUCGAUAGUAAAAGGAAGAUAUUUACCAUUAAGAUUAUCCGACAGUUUUUAUAUCGAAUGGCUAUGAAUAUUUUCCGUUUCUUCUUUUCUAAUUAUCAACAUUGCUUCAUUGUUUACACUUUAUACACCUUUUAUUUUAAUUGCCCAUUCGCUGAAGUGCUGUACUUGAUCCCGUUCCGCCCGUACCUAAUUUUUAUUAGAAAUGCAAAAAUGUAGCGAAUUUUUUCCGCUCAAUUUAAGUCACGUUUUAAAUUUUUGCUCAGAUCGUUUUGCCGAUAUAAAAGACUUAACUUGUGCUUUCAGUUUUCGGGCUUUGGCCAGCUCCCCAGUCACGUUUCCCCCAUAGACGCCACGUACGCAUCACGGGGGUGCAGUCGCAGUCGCCGGCACAGAGCCAAUCGCUGUGAAUGGUUUAUGCUAUCUGUUUGCUAAUUUAUUUAUGUUUUUAUGUUCAUGAUCUUAGUCCAUUUGUGGAAAUAGGUAAAUGUUUAAAGGGGGCCUGCUUUGGGAGCUUGCAUAAGUACUUUAAAUAAUUGCCCAGGCCAAGGAGCCCAUAUAGUAUGCGACUGGUUACCCUUUCCCCCAGCAUUAUGAUUUAUUUGACUCGAACCGCUCUGCCCCCGAUUGCAUUGCAUAAGCCUGACUGUUGACGGAGCUGCCACAACGAUGACGUUAUGCGAGGCGCGUGCUAAGGCGGCUCUGACGCGGAUUCGAGGCGGCUCUGGGGCUCUGACCUAAAAACCUCCUCUACUACGGUAGUUCGACGCCAACGCUGACAACGCGGCCGAGGCGGCAUUUGGCCUAAACAGAAAUGCAAAAUGCAAAAUGCAAAACUGAAAAUGCAACCAAAUGGAGUCACCAAUGAGGAAAGCAGACGAUUGUAUGCCCUGUACAAAUGGAAAUAGUAUCUUUUGGCAGUUCCAGAUUGAUUCGAGACGUGGAUCUUUCAUCAGGGAUACAUUUUAGAUUUAAAAUAUGUCUUAAUCAUUUCUUAGCAUACAUCUUCUCUUUCCUUAGACGUAACGAAAUCUCCGUCUACCCCUACAUUUUAUUGGGUCUUCAAGACUCUUCCCAUAGCAGACAACAGCCGUUGGGAUAGGGUAUAUUCUGAAUGCUGCGAGCACUGAGCGUAAACAAGUUGGCCUGACAGUGCAGUUAGACAUUAGAUGGCUAAGUGAUGAGCCUGUUGAGCGCGUUGCUUGCCAGCUUUUGCAAAUUACCUGGGAUCGGCUGUGGAUCCAUCCGACUGCGACUGCGACUGCGACUAAGACCUGGCCGAUAAAAGCGCCUCCAGCCGAGUACCGUUGGUUGCCACACCAACCUACAUAGCCGCUGCAAAGCGGCAAAUGCCACACGACGCACGAGUGCGUUGAAUGCCAUAGAGGCUCUACAGUUUCCAGGGGGACUACACGGCUAUCUCGUACUCCUAAUUGAAAAAUGCGUAGGUUAAUCCGCCAGAGCCACAGCCAGAGCCAAAGAGUGCUUCGACUCGCAGAGAGAGGGUCAAGCUCCGGCCAAUGCACGGAUGCAGAACUCUUUGCAUUUUCCACAACAGAUUUUCCCUGGCACUGGCACGCAUCUUCGGGACAGGCCUAGCCGGAU